GAUGAACGCUGGCGGCGUGCUUAACACAUGCAAGUCGAACGGAAAGGCCCAAGCUUGCUUGGGUACUCGAGUGGCGAACGGGUGAGUAACACGUGGGUGAUCUGCCCUGCACUUCGGGAUAAGCCUGGGAAACUGGGUCUAAUACUGGAUAGGACCACUUCUUGGAUGUUGUGGUGGAAAGUUUUUUCGGUGUGGGAUGAGCUCGCGGCCUAUCAGCUUGUUGGUGGUGUAAUGGCCUACCAAGGCGUCGACGGGUAGCCGGCCUGAGAGGGUGUACGGCCACAUUGGGACUGAGAUACGGCCCAGACUCCUACGGGAGGCAGCAGUGGGGAAUAUUGCACAAUGGGCGCAAGCCUGAUGCAGCGACGCCGCGUGGGGGAUGACGGCCUUCGGGUUGUAAACUCCUUUCGCUAGGGACGAAGCGUUUUGUGACGGUACCUGGAGAAGAAGCACCGGCUAACUACGUG
rnacentral:rRNA from 1 species